GCUACAACAGUAUUUGUCUCGGCACCACCCAACAGCUGUACUCUUUUCACCAAUUCCAAGUUGGGAACCCCCUCUGAAGCCUAUUCCGCAAUCUCUUAUUCUUCAUAUGCUUCAUCUAUAUGGCGAUGAGUAUUUUCCCAUUCAUUUCUCAUGUUGGGAGAAUCAGUUAGAGCUAAUCAAGGUCAUGGCUAAGGCAGAUCCUAAUGUUCUCAAGCAAACUUCUAGUAAAUUGCGGCAAUUUUUUAACAGCCUUGAACAAGCAAGUUUAUGUCAUUGCUGGUCGUAUGUAUUAUGUUUACUGUACGAAAUGGCAUAUAUGCACUGACAUAUUUUGAUGUGCGUGAACCAGUGAACAUGUUUAGCAAAUUUUGUUUUAACAAUUGAGAAU